UACGUAGGGUGCAAGCGUUGUCCGGAAUUAUUGGGCGUAAAGAGCUCGUAGGCGGCUCGUCGCGUCAGCUGUGAAAACCCGCAGCUUAACUGUGGGCUUGCAGCUGAUACGGGCGGGCUAGAGUUCGGUAGGGGAGACUGGAAUUCCUGGUGUAGCGGUGAAAUGCGCAGAUAUCAGGAGGAACACCGGUGGCGAAGGCGGGUCUCUGGGCCGAUACUGACGCUGAGGAGCGAAAGCGUGGGGAGCGAACAGG
rnacentral:rRNA from 1 species